rnacentral:rRNA from 1 species
UACGUAGGGUGCAGGCGUUAAUCGGAAUUACUGGGCGUAAAGCGUGCGCAGGCGGUUUCUUAAGUCAGAUGUGAAAGCCCCGGGCUUAACCUGGGAACUGCGUUUGAAACUGGGAGACUUGAGUGUGGCAGAGGGGGAUGGAAUUCCGCGUGUAGCAGUGAAAUGCGUAGAUAUGCGGAGGAACACCGAUGGCGAAGGCAAUCCCCUGGACCUGUACUGACGCUCAUGCACGAAAGCGUGGGGAGCAAACAGG